AAAAAUGAAAAAAUCGUUGACUUAGAAUGGUCGUAAAAAUUAUAUAUUCUCUCCGUUCCACUGAAAUAAUCCACUUGUUGAAAAAAAUAUCAUAUUCUUUGAAAAAUAUAAUUUAUAAUUUAAUUAUUUUAUUUUAUCCUUAUUAAGAAAUAAUUUAGCUUUAAAAUAAUUCAAAUUAAGAAAGUGAAUUAUAUUUUAAAAUAUUUGGGAAAAGGAGAGAGAAACGAAAAGAGCAGCUGAUCAUAAUCUAAUCUAUAAACAGAAUACUUGAUUCCUUAUGAAAGAAAGAGAGCGGAAAUGGUAGAUUUAUUGAUGGCGAAAUGGUAUGUAUGUUUUUGUAGUUAGUUUGAUGAUCUCAUGUCGAAUGGACUAGGAUCAAUCAAAGCAUAAUCACGAAGCUCCUGAAUUUGAUCAAACACCAUAAAAGAAGG
rnacentral:lncRNA from 1 species